AGAGUGAACGCUGGCGGUAGGCCCAACACAUGCAAGUCGAACGGCAGCACAGUGGUAGCAAUACCAUGGGUGGCGAGUGGCGGACGGGUGAGGAAUACAUCGGAAUCUACCUUUUCGUGGGGGAUAACGUAGGGAAACUUACGCUAAUACCGCAUACGCCCUUCGGGGGAAAGCCGGGGAUCGCAAGACCUGGCGCGGAUAGAUGAGCCGAUGUCGGAUUAGCUAGUUGGUGAGGUAAUGGCUCACCAAGGCGACGAUCCGUAGCUGGUCUGAGAGGAUGAUCAGCCACACUGGAACUGAGACACGGUCCAGACUCCGUACGGGAGCAGCAGGU
rnacentral:rRNA from 1 species